AGACGUCUACAUUAGAUACCCGUGUAGUCCCAGCCGUAAGCUAUGCGCGUUAGGUGUAUCGGUGACCACGAGUUACCGAGGUGCCGAAGGGAAACCGUGAAACGUGCCGCCUGGGAAGUACGGUCGCAAGGCUGAAACUUAAAGGAAUUGGCGGGGAGCACCACAACAGGUGGAGCCUGCGGUUUAAUUGGACUCAACGCCGGGAAGCUCACCGGAUAGGACAGCAGAAUGAUUGCCGGGCUGAAGACCCUGCAUGACUAGCUG
rnacentral:rRNA from 1 species